rnacentral:rRNA from 1 species
CCUACGGAGGGCAGCAGUGAGGAAUAUUGGUCAAUGGCCGGAAGUCUGAACCAGCCAAGCCGCGUGAAGGACGAAGGUGCCAAGCAUUGUAAACUUCUUUUGUCAAGGGACAAAAUCAGGCUCGAGAGCCUGACCGAGGGUACUUGAAGAAAAAGCAUCGGCUAACUCCGUGCCAGCAGCCGCGGUAAGACGGAGGAUGCGAGCGUUAUCCGGCUUUUUUGGGUUUAAAGGGUGCGUAGGCGGACUGUUAAGUCAGCGGUAAAAGCCCGGGGCUCAACCCCGGCGAGCCGUUGAAACUGGUUGUCUUGAGAUGUCGAGAGGUAUGCGGAAUGCGCAGUGUAGCGGUGAAAUGCUUAGAUAUUGCGCAGAACUCCGAUUGCGAAGGCAGCAUACCGGCGGCGAUCUGACGCUGAGGCACGAAAGCGUGGGUAUCGAACAGGAUUAGAUACCCCGGUAGUC